GGUGCGUAACGCGUAUGCAACCUGCCUGACACAGGGGGAUAAUCCGAAGAAAUUUGGUCUAAUACCCCAUAAUACCGAUAUAGGCAUCUAUGUUGGUUGAAAGCUUUGGUGGUGUCAGAUGGGCAUGCGUUGUAUUAGCUAGUUGGUGAGGUAACGGCUCACCAAGGCGACGAUACAUAGGGGGACUGAGAGGUUAACCCCCCACACUGGUACUGAGACACGGACCAGACUCCUACGGGAGGCAGCAUG
rnacentral:rRNA from 1 species